GAUUCAUAGAAGAGGGUCAGGAGAGAACAGUUCUGUCUGUGAAAGCACAUUUAAAAGGCUGGACUCUUCUCCGAGGGAGGGAGAGGCAGGAGAGCUAGCAGGGCCUCGGGCCUGACUGCCCCCUCAGGCCGUUCGCCAGGCCUCUACCGAGUCCUAGGCCUUGUCGGGGGUGGCCGCGGGGCGCCGGUUGCUGGGGGACCAGUGACGUCGCGGGGUGAAAGUUGAGGGGCGGUGACGUCGGGCCUGCCCGGGCGGAGGCUGGCGGGUUGGAGGCAGAGGGAGGGAGGGAAGGAGGGAAGGAAGGAAGCUGGGAAGAAGCGAGCGAGCGAGUGGGGGCGCGAGGCGUUUACCUGGAGGCAGCGGCUUGGGCGCGCAGAGCGGCCGCGGCUCCCCCGCACCUGCGGCCAUGGAUGAGGAGCGCGCCCUCUACAUCGUCCGGGCCGGCGAGGCGGGGGCUAUCGAGCGGGUCCUGAGGGAUUACAGCGAUAAGCAUAGGGCUACUUUCAAAUUUGAAUCAACAGAUGAAGAUAAAAGAAAGAAACUCUGUGAAGGCAUAUUUAAAGUCCUUUUAAAGGACAUCCCAACAACAUGUCAAGUGUCCUGCCUUGAAGUUCUCCGCAUUCUCUCCAGAGACAAAAAGGUUUUAGUUCCUGUAACAACUAAGGAAAAUAUGCAGAUACUGCUGCGACUAGCCAAGCUAAAUGAGUCGGAUGAUUCUUUGGAGAAGGUGUCAGAGUUCCCAGUUAUUGUGGAGUCAUUAAAAUGUCUUUGUAACAUAGUGUUCAACAGUCAGAUGGCACAGCAGCUCAGCCUGGAACUUAACCUUGCUGCAAAGCUCUGUAACCUCCUGAGAAAGUGCAAGGACCGAAAGUUUAUCAAUGACAUUAAGUGCUUUGACUUGCGCUUGCUCUUCGUCCUGUCACUUUUGCACACCGACAUCAGGUCACAAUUGCGCUAUGAGCUCCAAGGACUACCGCUGCUAACCCAGAUCUUGGAAAGUGCCUUUAGCAUCAAGUGGACCGAUGAAUAUGAAUCGGCCAUAGACCGUAAUGGACCUCCUCUCUCACCUCAGGAGACAGACUGUGCCAUUGAGGCCCUCAAAGCUCUCUUCAAUGUGACGGUAGACAGUUGGAAGGUGCAUAAAGAGGGUGAUUCUCAUCAGUUUCGUGUCAUGGCAGCUGUUCUUCGCCAUUGUUUACUAAUCGUAGGUCCAACUGAAGACAAAACAGAAGAGCUACACAGCAAUGCAGUCAACCUUUUAAGCAAUGUUCCAGUCUCUUGUUUGGAUGUUCUCAUUUGUCCAUUAACCCAUGAAGAAACAGCCCCAGAAGCAACGACGCUAGAUGAACUGCCCAGUGAUAAAACAGCUGAGAAAGAAACAGUUUUGAAAAAUAAUACCAUGGUAUACAAUGGUAUGAAUAUGGAGGCCAUUCAUGUUUUACUUAGUUUUAUGGAGAAGAGAAUAGACAAGGGAAGCAGCUAUAGAGAGGGUCUAACUCCAGUUCUCAGCUUAUUAACAGAAUGUUCCCGAGCCCAUCGAAACAUCAGAAAAUUUCUCAAAGAUCAGGUUUUACCACCAUUGAGGGAUGUGACAAAUCGACCUGAAGUUGGCUCAACUGUGAGAAAUAAGCUGGUGCGCCUCAUGACACAUGUUGACCUGGGAGUCAAGCAAAUUGCUGCUGAAUUCCUUUUUGUCCUUUGCAAAGAGAGAGUGGAUAGCCUGCUGAAAUACACUGGCUAUGGGAAUGCUGCAGGACUGUUGGCGGCCAGGGGCCUCUUGGCUGGAGGAAGAGGAGAUAAUUGGUACUCAGAGGACGAGGACACAGACACUGAAGAAUACAAAAAUGCAAAACCAAACAUUAAUCUUAUCACUGGUCAUUUAGAGGAACCAAUGCCAAACCCCAUAGAUGAAAUGACAGAAGAACAAAAAGAAUAUGAAGCCAUGAAACUUGUCAACAUGCUUGAUAAACUUUCCAGACCCUGUCAUUAAUUCCAUGUGUCAAUACUGCCCUGUAGUACACAGAGCAGACAAGAAAGAAGAGCCCUUGAAAACAAGGGAAUGAUUUUUGAGUCGUUAUCAAGCUAAGUGGCAAGCGGGAAGCUGAAACUCGUAUAGUUGAACAUUCUUGGAGGCUUAUCUCUUCCCUGGCCAGAUGCCUGAUCAGAUGAGAAGCCCGCCAUGAUACUGUCACAGUGCCUAGAAUGGGCUCUUUAUCCAGUAGACAUCACUGUACUUUUUGAUGAUAACGAGGGCAGUCUUAACUUGUGUUAAGGCCUGUGUAUAGCAUUGAAGAGAGGAGUUGCUUAAACCAAUGGGACUAAAACCUGAUGGGACAAUAACGCCUUUGGAGGAAGCACUCAACCAGUACUCUGUCAUCGAGGAGACCAGCUCUGACACAGACUAAAAGCAUCACCUGCUCAACUCUCAGUAUUGCUUUUAUCAGCAUCUUUUCUCUGUAGCUCCAGGGGAAUCUUUUCUCUAAAACAUUUAUGCCCUUGCUUUGGCUAGAAACACAUUAACUGGUUUACUCAUUGAGAAUCCAGCAUAUUUAAGAAGUGAUCCUGUGUUUUGCGAUAUUGAGGCAUUCAUACAGAGCUGCAGUUAGACGGAGUUGCAGAGACUAGGAACAGGAAAAAAAAAAUUCCAUUUUGUCAAGAUGGAACUGAAGGACUUCACUCUAUAAAGCAGCCCUGGUUGAAUCUGGCAGUUCUGUUUGCCAAGAUUCUAAAGAAGAUUUAGCCGUGUCCUUCCUCUCACUUGUGUGAGCUGCCCUUUCUGAAUCUCUCCAGAGACAGAGGCAUGUGAGAAGCAGAACGAGCUGCUAAAAAGGGGCUGAGGCAAGUGACUUGUUAGAUCAGGACUGAGUGAAUGGAAGCCAAGCAGCAGCUGCUCCAUAAACAUAGCCCCACUCUUCAUUUCAAUUUUGUAUAAAUCUAUAGAAAUGCACACACACGCACACACACACAACAGCCCCAGACUUGCAAACUGAUUACAUUCAAAAAGUCUGUAUGUCAGUUAUCUAGAACUUCAGAAUACAUUUCUCCCUAUAAAGUUAUAAAUGAUGGUUUAGUUCUGAGGCAGCUACAAAUGCCUAUUUAUUCCCUAAUAAGCUGAACACUAGUACCAUAGAACUGAACCCCCAUCUGUAUCACUGCAUGGGGAACAUGCAUUCUGAGGUCUAACAUAGGGGUGCCUCCAACCUGGUAGAGGGAAUGGGGACCCCCUGGGUACGGGGGGGCCUUUUGAGCCCUCUGCUGAGGGUGGGGGAGUCAGCAGCACCCAUUUGUACAUAUAGGUCACUCAUAUGUCACAUGUUUUAAAUUGGGGACUGUGUGUGCUUGUGUGUGUGUCCUACCUUUCUACCAUAUGUGAUCAGUUUAAUGGUAACUUUAUUUAUUUAAAAAAGAAACACAAAUAGUUACUGUUAAACUGAUUAAGCCUGUUUAUUUUUACUUUUAGAAUUGGUCAUAUGACGAAGUAGAAAAUGAAUCAUGCAAAUAGACAGUGGGCCUAGUUAAUCAAUGGCUAAAGUUGAAAAGGGGUUGGUUUCCUUUUAUAUAUAUAUAUGUAUGUAUAUACAUAUAUAUAUAUAUACACACAUAAUGUGCUUAACCACUGCCUUUUAAAACUUUAAAUUAAAUAAAACAUUGGGGUUGAUUCAAUUUAGCUAUCUGUGUGUGUUUCUUUAUAGAUACGUGGGGUAAACAAUCCUAUUUCACAGUUUAUGCUUUUUUAAAGUGCUUUUACAUCUGUUAUCUCACUUAUAAUAAAUAGCCUUUCUAAGGAUAAAGUACAUGAAGUAUUAGUGAAAAUGUCAUUUAUCCAGAAGUCACUUCUCUGGCAAAAGUACAAAUCAGGAAUUCAGUUUUAAAAAGCCUUAGAGCUGCCAAAAGAGAUGGCAAAGUUUCUUACAAUUUAUUUAUAGGAGAGAUCCUCAAGAAUCUCACCUUGUGCCUCUUUACUAAAAUUUGCAUAUACUUCUAACAUGUUUAGUUAUCUGACUUCCAAGCCCACAAAAAAAUGGCAAAGGAGGCGGCUGUUAGAUGGAAAGCAGACCUACUGAAAGCAGCAAAAAGCCAACUGAAAACCGGAUAGGAACGUGGGGAGAAUGAAAACUACUCAAGGCGUCAUAAGUCUGGGACCAUCUGUUUCCUAAAGGACAUUCUAGUUGACCCAGAAAGUAUCUGUACAACAGUAUGGCCUAUAAACUAUUCUCAUAACGAUGACCUUGUGUUUCUUUUAAAAAAUAAGAAUACUCUAUAAAAAGACUAGGAAGAAUACAUUUUAGGAUUUUUUAUCCAAAAUAGUUGGGAGUAUAAGUUAUGUGUGACCCAUGUUUUAAAAAUAAAAUGAAACUUGGUAAUUCAUAAUUUUAGAUUAAAUGAAAAAAAGUUUAGAAAAAAGAAUUUAAGUAUUUUUGUUACUUCAUUCUACAAAUGCAUUUUUAAAGUAUUUUUAUAAUUUCUGCAAUUAAAUAGCUUUGGCAUGAGUGUCGGCUUACCUAAAUGAAGACAUGUGUAAUGAAAUACCAUCUUGCCAGCUUUAUGCAGAGUGUUUGAACAGUCCUGUUUAAGUAGCUGUGCUCUUCUGCUUUCAAUGAGUUCUGUUUCAUUUUGAGUUUCCCCAUACUGGGCACUAAGCUUUGUUUUGAAGAGAGAAUUUGCAGAGGGAGAAGAUGAAAGUGACCUCAUCUUGCACACGGAAAAGAGAACUAACAUCUGUUGAUUGCUUGCUCUGUGCUGGGCUUUUUAUGUAUCUUAUCUUGUGUAAAGUCAUCACAUCUCAUAUUAAGAGAUCAUCUCUGGAAAGCAGAGUAAGUUACCUAACAUCACAGAGCAAGUAAAAAUCCAACUCUGGCCGGCCUGACCCCCAGCACCUCUCCUUACCCUUCAUGCUGCCCACCUGGGUCCAUGUUGUGCCCCCUUAUGACUCUGGAAUGCUGGGAGAGUGGUAAUUCUCAGGCCAUUUUAAGCAAUAACUAUUUCAGCAGAACUGGUUUAAAGAACUUAUUAAACAGGGAGGUGACCUGAAUGAAGUUGAAGUGUGAGUAGGAAACUUGCUCAGUUAGUACUGGAUUUCAAAUAAGGAAGGACCUGGAAUCCUUUAGGUCAGAGAUGAGGGCUGCAGGCUCUCCCCCAGCCCCCGUGCCCCAACCACCCUGACCCUCGACAUCUACCUGGCUCGGUGGCCUGCAGUGGGGAUGGUGAGAAUAUACUGGCCAACUGCACUCUGCAGGCCCCUGUGUCCACAUCCCUCCCAACCUUUAAAACAGGGUAUGGAGGAGCGGGUUCUAAAAUAAGGCACUUGAGCUGCUGCUUUAGAGUAACAGUCAACAGACACUUGAGGCCCCUUCACACACCGGGUGGUCCUAGCAAGUGCACAGGAUGGGUGUUAUUGUCCCUCCUUUAUAAAUGAAGACAUAGGCAGAGGCAGUACAAGUACUCAACAUCCCCUUACUACCAUCAGUCUUGCCGCCUCCCAGUACUAGGUGUCUCUUAUAUUGACCUCCCUUCCCCUCCCCCCCAUUAUAAAAGUAAUAUAUGUUCAUUGUGGAAAGUUUGGAGAAUACAGGAAAUAAUAAAGUUAAUAAUUCACCCCAAAACCCACCACCUGAGAUAAUCUCUGUUAAUGUUUUGGUGUAUUUCCGUCCUGUGUUUUUUCUA